UACGUAGGGGGCAAGCGUUGUCCGGAUUUAUUGGGCGUAAAGAGCGUGUAGGCGGUUAGGUAGGUCCGUUGUGAAAACUCGAGGCUCAACCUCGAGACGCCGAUGGAAACCAUCUAACUAGAGUCCGGAAGAGGAGAGUGGAAUUCCUGGUGUAGCGGUGAAAUGCGCAGAUAUCAGGAGGAACACCGGUGGCGAAGGCGGGUCUCUGGGCCGAUAUUGACGCUGAGGAGCGAAAGCGUGGGGAGCAAACAGG
rnacentral:rRNA from 1 species